rnacentral:lncRNA from 1 species
UGUAUAUAAGAAGAUUAUUUGUACACCUGAAAUUACUAUUUCUUGCAUAUCAGACGGUAGUCUCUGAUGUUUUACACCCGGAUGUAAAAGAUAUAAUCUGCACCCAUUUAACUGCUGUGCAACAGACUUGACGAAAGGCGUAAAGUGUGUGCUGCGAUCAAAUAUGGAGGAACCAUGGCAUUUAAACAGUUCUGUGAAAAAAGGUCUGAGCUCGAAUUAUGGCAUGACAAAAUCCUUGGGAAAUAUGUCCAAGUAAUCAGUGAGACACCAAAUUUGUAAAAGACAUAUGAAGCGAAAAAAUAGCAACUUCCGUAUGCUGCAAACAUUUGGUAGAAUGUGUUUGAUGUAUUGCAUGCAUAGGACAAUAAUGAAGUUAUAUUUAUUGGUCAUUUUGUUAUUAGGUCCCUUUUUGUGAAAAGUAUAAAAUCUAUUGCUUUAAACCUUUGUACAUUUCUUUACUAUUAGUUAGUGAGUAAGAAGGCCAAGAAAGAUAACACUUUUUAUUGUAUAUUGUUUAAUUUCAAUCAAUUACAGACAAGGGUAGGGACCUGGUUCAUACUAAUUUGGCAUAUCUUAAAGUAUGUCUGGUUUAAUUUUGUCUACAAGAUAUUGCUUAAGCUUUUGAUAGCAUGUCUUUUUUGACAGUUUUAGAUGCUGGCAAAGCGAAAUGCGUUUAGAAAAGAAAAUGUCAGAAAUGUAAAUGUUAUAUGUCUUUUACUGAGGUCAGAAACAGAAACAAUGAAAAAUUUUGCUCGUUUGGAUUGAUAAGUUUUCAUUAAAACAGCUAUAACAGGAGGAUAAAUAAAACAUUAUUUCGUUUGUAACAUUUAAUGUAAACUGGAGUAAUUUCAAGUUAUAAUAUGUAAUUAAUCACAAUAUUUAGAAGUAACACAUUUAUAUACACUA